AGAGAGAGAGAGAGAGAGAGAGAGAGAGAGAGAGAGAGAGAGAGAGAGCAUGACCAGCUGAGUCAAUGUAUUGUUCCCAUCACGUCCCACCUCCGCGCCAAGCCUCAUUUGUGUAGCUGCUUGCCGCUGGAGUCAGUAAUCGAGUCCUUUAUCUUGAUCGACACGUUUCCUCUGGCCUUAGUUUGGAGCGGACGAGAAAAAGUUAGUUGGACGUCAGUUAUUGGUGCAUACCCCGAGUGGGGCCGCUGCCAAAUGAGGGUCUGAGUGCCGGGAGAACCGCGCCCGCCACCACCAGUUGUUCUUCGCUUCUCACACAGACGGGACGCAACCAUGAGAAAUAAGGCGCUAUUGUCGCUGCUGCUGGCCAUGAUGGUCUUCAUGGCCCGCACCUCAGCCUGGGACAUGUUUGGUGACGACGAUGAUGAUGAUAAUGAUGAUGAUAACGACGAUGAUGAUGAUGAUGAUGAUGAUGAUGAUGAUGAUGAUGAUGAUGAUGAUGAUGACGACGACGAC